rnacentral:rRNA from 1 species
UGGGGAAUAUUGCACAAUGGGCGCAAGCCUGAUGCAGCCAUGCCGCGUGUAUGAAGAAGGCCUUCGGGUUGUAAAGUACUUUCAGCGGGGAGGAAGGGAGUAAAGUUAAUACCUUUGCUCAUUGACGUUACCCGCAGAAGAAGCACCGGCUAACUCCGUGCCAGCAGCCGCGGUAAUACGGAGGGUGCAAGCGUUAAUCGGAAUUACUGGGCGUAAAGCGCACGCAGGCGGUUUGUUAAGUCAGAUGUGAAAUCCCCGGGCUAAACCUGGGAACUGAAUCGGAUACUGGCAAGCUUGAGUCUCGUAGAGGGGGGUAGAAUUCCAGGUGUAGCGGUGAAAUGCGUAGAGAUCUGGAGGAAUACCGGUGGCGAAGGCGGCCCCCUGGACGAAGACUGACGCUCAGGUGCGAAAGCGUGGGGGGCAAACAGG